UACAGAGGUCUCAAGCGUUGUUCGGAUUCAUUGGGCGUAAAGGGUGCGUAGGCGGCGCGGUAAGUCGGGUGUGAAAUCUUGGAGCUUAACUCCGAAACUGCAUUCGAUACUGCCGUGCUUGAGGACUGGAGAGGAGACUGGAAUUUACGGUGUAGCGGUGAAAUGCGUAGAUAUCGUAAGGAAGACCAGUGGCGAAGGCGGGUCUCGUGGACAGUUCCUGACGCUGAGGCACGAAGGCCCAGGGGGAGCAAAACGGGG
rnacentral:rRNA from 1 species